rnacentral:tRNA from 1 species
UUCCCUGACCAGGGAUCGAACCUGGGCCCCCUGCAUUGGGAGUGAGGAGUCUUAACCACUGGACCACCAGGGA